rnacentral:piRNA from 1 species
UGGACAGAUGCCUGAGGCAAAGAACUUGGUUU